AGCGAACGCUGGCGGCAGGCCUAACACAUGCAAGUCGAACGAAGUCUUCGGACUUAGUGGCGGACGGGUGAGUAACACGUGGGAACGUGCCUUUAGGUUCGGAAUAACUCAGGGAAACUUGUGCUAAUACCGAAUGUGCCCUUCGGGGGAAAGAUUUAUCGCCUUUAGAGCGGCCCGCGUCUGAUUAGCUAGUUGGUGAGGUAAAGGCUCACCAAGGCGACGAUCAGUAGCUGGUCUGAGAGGAUGAUCAGCCACAUUGGGACUGAGACGCGGCCCAAACUCCAACGGGAGGCAGCAGUGAGGAAUUUUCCGCAAUGGGCGAAAGCCUGACGGAGCGACACCGCGUGAAGGAUGAAGCUUUUCGGAGCGUAAACUUCUUUUAUGUAUGAAGAUUAUGACGGUAAUACAUGAAUAAGCACCGGCUAACUACGUGCCAGCCGCCGCCGUAA
rnacentral:rRNA from 1 species